CAGGUGGUAGCUCAAUGGUAGAGCCUCCCACUGUGGAUGGGGCUAUUCGGGUUCGACUCCCGACCACCUGA
rnacentral:tRNA from 2 species